rnacentral:rRNA from 1 species
AUUGAACGCUGGCGGCAGGCCUAACACAUGCAAGUCGAGCGCGAAAGUCUUCGGAUGAGUAAAGCGGCGGACGGGUGAGUAAUGCAUGGGAAUCUGCCUGGUAGUGGGGGACAACGUUUCGAAAGGAACGCUAAUACCGCAUACGCCCUACGGGGGAAAGGGGGGGAUCUUCGGACCUCUCGCUAUCAGAUGAGCCCAUGUCAGAUUAGCUUGUUGGUGAGGUAAAGGCUCACCAAGGCGACGAUCUGUAACUGGUCUGAGAGGAUGAUCAGUCACACUGGAACUGAGACACGGUCCAGACUCCUACGGGAGGCAGCAGUGGGGAAUAUUGGACAAUGGGCGAAAGCCUGAUCCAGCCAUGCCGCGUGUGUGAAGAAGGCCUUAGGGUUGUAAAGCACUUCCAGUGGGGAGAAAGGUAAUUCACCUAAUACGUGAGUUAAUUGAUGUUACCCACAGAAGAAGCACCGGCUAACUCCGUGCCAGCCGCCGCCGUAA